rnacentral:rRNA from 1 species
AGUGAACGCUGGCGGCAGGCCUAACACAUACAAGUCGAACGGCAGCACAGUAAGAGCUUGUUCUUACGGGUGGCGAGUGGCGGACGGGUGAGGAAUACAUCGGAAUCUACUUUUUCGUGGGGGAUAACGUAGGGAAACUUACGCUAAUACCGCAUACGACCUACGGGUGAAAGCAGGGGAUCUUCGGACCUUGCGCGAUUGAAUGAGCCGAUGUCGGAUUAGCUAGUUGGCGGGGUAAAGGCCCACCAAGGCGACGAUCCGUAGCUGGUCUGAGAGGAUGAUCAGCCACACUGGAACUGAGACACGGUCCAGACUCCUACGGGAGGCAGCAGUGGGGAAUAUUGGACAAUGGGCGCAAGCCUGAUCCAGCCAUACCGCGUGAGUGAAGAAGGCCUUCGGGUUGUAAAGCCCUUUUGUUGGGAAAGAAAAGCAGCAGGUUAAUACCCCGCUGUUCUGACGGUACCCAAAGAAUAAGCACCGGCUAACUUCGUG